rnacentral:rRNA from 1 species
GACGGAGGGCGCAAGCGUUGUUCGGAAUUACUGGGCGUAAAGCGCGCGCAGGCGGGAAGGUAAGUACUGGAGUGAAAUUCCCGGGGCGUCAACUCCCGGAGCUGCUUUGGAUACUGUCUUUCUAGGGACCGGUGAGAGGCCGGGUGGCGAUUCCCGGUCGUAGCGGGUGGAAUGCGCAGAUAUCAGGAGGAACACCGAUGGCGAAGGCAGAUCUCUGGGCCGUAACUGACGCUGAGGAGCGAAAAGCGUGGGGGAGCGAACAGG